GUCCAUUGCUCAGUUGGUAGAGCACAAGGCUCUUAACCUUGUGGUCGUGGGCUCAAGUCCCAUGAUGGAUG
rfam:Triticum aestivum genome assembly, contig: Triticum_aestivum_CS42_TGACv1_scaffold_377617_5AL